rnacentral:tRNA from 1 species
CCAUCGGUGGUUCAGUGGUAGAAUACUCGCCUGCCACGCGGGCGGACCGGGUUCGAUUCCCGGCCGAUGCA